UCUGAAGAACCUUCUAUAAUAAGAUCUGAUAAGGUACAACCGCGACUAUCUCCGUUGGAUCGUGGACCAUGGAUGGAUCCAAAGGUGAACAAUGCAUGGAAUUUGUUGAGAGGAGCACGUAGAGCUUGUGAUGCAACGGGCCGGGUGCGGCUCAGGAUUACUCGUGCGUGGUGGUAUUAUCUGAAGAGCUUCCUUAAUUUGGGCACAGAGGGGAACUUUCUUAAUUAGGACAGGUAGAGAGAGUUCCGCUAUAAAUA
rnacentral:lncRNA from 1 species